rnacentral:rRNA from 1 species
UACAGAGGGUGCGAGCGUUGUCCGGAAUCACUGGGCGUAAAGGGCGCGUAGGCGGCUUGAUAAGCGUGCGGUGAAAGCCCGGGGCUCAACCCCGGGUCGGCCGUGCGAACUGUCGAGCUGGAGCACUGUAGAGGCAGGUGGAAUUCCGGGUGUAGCGGUGGAAUGCGUAGAGAUCGGCAGGAAGACCAAGGGGGAAGCCAGGCACCUGGGCCCGUACUGACACUCAUGGACGACCGCGUGGGGAGCGAACCGG